GGAGGCAGCAGUAGGGAAUCUUCCUCAUGGACGAAAGUCUGAUGGAGCAACGCCGCGUGAGUGAAGAAGGUUUUCGGAUCGUAAAACUCUGUUGUAAGGGAAGAACACGUACGAGAGUAACUGCUCGUACCUUGACGGUACCUUAUUAGAAAGCCACGGCUAACUACGUGCCAGCAGCCGCGGUAAUACGUAGGUGGCAAGCGUUGUCCGGAAUUAUUGGGCGUAAAGCGCGCGCAGGCGGUCCUUUAAGUCUGAUGUGAAAGCCCACGGCUCAACCGUGGAGGGUCAUUGGAAACUGGGGGACUUGAGUACAGAAGAGGAAAGCGGAAUUCCACGUGUAGCGGUGAAAUGCGUAGAGAUGUGGAGGAACACCAGUGGCGAAGGCGGCUUUCUGGUCUGUAACUGACGCUGAGGCGCGAAAGCGUGGGGAGCAAACAGGAUUAGAUACCCUGUAGUCCACGCCGUAAACGAUGAGUGCUAAGUGUUAGGGGGUUUCCGCCCCUUAGUGCUGCAGCUAACGCAUUAAGCACUCCGCCUGGGGAGUACGGCCGCAAGGCUGAAACUCAAAGGAAUUGACGGGGGCCCGCACAAGCGGUGGAGCAUGUGGUUUAAUUCGAAGCAACGCGAAGAACCUUACCAGGUCUUGACAUCCCACUGACCGGCUUAGAGAUAAGUCUUUCCCUUCGGGGACAGUGGUGACAGGUGGUGCAUGGUUGUCGUCAGCUCGUGUCGUGAGAUGUUGGGUUAAGUCCCGCAACGAGCGCAACCCUUGAUCUUAGUUGCCAGCAUUUAGUUGGGCACUCUA
rnacentral:rRNA from 1 species